UUUCAAGCUUCCAAGCUUGAUUGUAAGUCCGUUCUAGCCCCAUUUUUAAUGUUCUUUACAUUUUUAAGAUUCUCGUAGCUCGGUUUAGCUAUUUCCACCAUUAUUUUGAGCUAGGGUUUGUGUUUAAAAAUUUACCCAUGGAUGACAUGCAUGUUUUUUUAUGUUUAAUGGUGGAAUAUGAAUGCUCAGUGUGUAAUAAACUACUUUUACUAAGUGAUUUUCGGUGAAAUUGUAAAAAAGGACAAGUUUGUAAAAAGUUGUACAAUGUGUGUAAGUGUGUGAAUAAAUGGAAAUUGUGGACUUCUAUAGUUAUAAAAAUAGUUCAGCUAGGCUUAAAAUACAAGGAAAUUAAAUAAAAAUCAUUUUACUAGCCUAGGGGAAAAAGUGUAAAUAUGACAAAGUUUAGGGGUAAAAAUAUAAAUUUUGUCAAAAUGUGAAUUUAGGCUAAUUUGAUUAGCAGGAUGAAUAAAUGAGUUAAAUGUGUUGUUAUAGAUCAAUGAAAACGAGAUUCGAACUUAGAACGGGAGGAAAAUAAAGAAUAUGAUGAAUAAGUCCUUUUCUCCGAUUGUGAUACCGAGGUAAGUUUGUAUGUAAAUAAUAUAUCAUUUUUACUUAUGUUAUAAUAUUUUGUUAUUAUAUGAGAGGUGGUUGCAUAUUGAAUGAUCACUUGAUGUAAAUUAUGAAUUGAAAUUGAUUAUGGAUGAAUUGGUAAAAUGUUCAAAAGUGAGGAAUUUCCCGGUUGGACCUUCGGAAUAGGAAAGAUACGAAUGAUCCAUUGUGAGAACAAAUGUGUAGUACUAUGUGCAGGCUACUAUGUGUUUAAAAUGGUUUUAGGUCACGUGUGUAGUACCAAGUGCAGGCUACUACGUGUACCAAAUGGUUAGGUCGCAUGUGUAGUACUAAGUGCAGGCUACUAUGCAUACCCGAUAGCUUUGAUCACAUGUGUGGUACUAAGUGCAGGCCACUAUGUGUAAAAGAUAGCUUUGGUCACAAGUGUGGUACUAUGUGAAGGCCACUUUGUGAAGAAGGUAGCUUUGACUACAAGGGUGGUACUAUGUGCAGGCCACCGGGCAUCCGUUAUUAUUCCGAUGUGUUCAACGGGAAAUGACAAGGUGUAAUUGAAUAUGACUAUGUGAUGAAUAAGUGAAGGUUUGUGUGUGUAAACUUAUGAGCAACGUGCUCGACAUGUGAUCGAACUUUGGUAAGAUUGAUAUGGAUUAAGUGUUACAAUGAAAGUCACUACAAAGAAAAUAUGAAAAAGUGAAAUUUAGUAAUAAAACAGUUUUGGACAGCAGUAGUUGUGUGACUUUGAACCAAAAAUGGUGGAAAUUGAAUUAGAAGUUGAAUAAGAUAUGAAAUAAAAGCUUACUGAGUCUAUUUUCAUAUAAAAGAAACGGUGUAAGAAAAUAAUUUCAUAUUAUGAGAUAUUUGAAUUUUUGUGAGAUAGAGUCAGAAUAAUUUUGGAAUCCCCUGUUUUGAUUUGGGAAAAUCAUUAAAAAUUGUAAAAAAAUAAUUAUGGUUUAUAAUUUAUAUGAUUAAAAUCCUUAAUGAUUCUAUUUUCGAAAGAAACAAAUAGGAACAUUAUCCAAAUCUUGUACGAAGAGAUAAUUAAUUUUUAGUUCAGAGAGGUCAGAACUAUUGGACAACAAAACAGGGGUGACUUUAAAGAAUAAACUGUACUUAUUGGCUAAAUAAAAAAUUCUUGAAAUUUUAUGGUAAGAAGAUAUAUGAGCCUAGUUUCAGGGAAAAUUAGCAAAUCUUAGUUUGGAGUUUCGUAGCUCAAGAUAUAAAUAAUUUAGUGACUGUGACUCGAGUAGACAGCUUGAGAUAAACAUGAAUAAAUAGUGGAACUAUGUGCAACUAUGAUUGUAUUAUCUUGAGAACAUAUUAUGAAGAUUUAUAAAAGCAUGUUAAUAGAUUACUUAUCAUUUACAUACCUACUUACUAACCGAUAAUGCUUACCCCCCUUCCUUUCCUUGUAAUACCCCGAAAAUUUUUACUGUAAGAUAUUAUCCUUGAUAUAGUAAAAUAAGAAAAUAAAGUGACAAAAAGGAAAAUUUUGAGUUGUGUCAACCUUGGGAAGUAUAUUAUGAUAUAUUAAUUCAAGAAAGGACUAAAUUGUAAAGAUGAGAAAAGUUUUGUUGCACAAGAGUAAAUACUCAAAAUUUGAGGGUUAGAGUGUAAAUAUGAAAAAUUUGAAGGACCAAUAGUGAAAAUAUUUUAAGGGUGGAAUGAUCUAGAAACUAAGGAAAAUAGAUGAAUUAGGACCAAAUUGAAUAGAUGAAAAAUUAUGAGGGACUAAAUGGCAAUUUUACCAAAUUAAGUUAUGACUCAAGGAUGAAAUUCUAAAAGAUCAUGAAGGGCAAAAUGGUCACUUAGUAAGAGAGAGAAUUCUAGAAUGUAAUGAUUAUGUUGAUGAUAUUUUAAAUUAAUUAAAUAGAUAAAUUUUAUUUUAUUAAUAUUUUAAUGACAUAUUUAUUAUUAUUUUAUUAUUAUUUAUUUAGUAUAUAAGGAAGGAAAGAUGAUGAAUUCUCAUCAUCUUUCCAUGCAUGCAAACGUUAGAAGAGAAGAAAAGAAAGAAAGUUUUCUUUUCUUUACAAUUUGGUCCUUCCACUAAAAAAUUCACCAUUUUCACCUAGAAAUCAAAAGAAUUUCCAUAGCUACCAACAGAAAAAAAUGUUAAGGAGACUAUGGGGAGUUAGAAUAUCAAAUUGGAUUCAAGGAAUAGAAGCUGGAGGAGAGAGAAAAUCAAAUUAAAGAUUGGAAUCAAUAGAACAAGGUAAGUACAUCAAGAUUUUAAUAUAUUUUUAAGUUUGUUAUUAUUAAGAAAGCAUGGAAAUAAUGUUAUAGUAGAGUCUUCUUACAUAAGGUUCUAUGUUCUUGAUGAGUUAGUGAAGGGAAAUAGGAGAAAGUGAUGGGAAAUAUUGUAGAGAAAGGGAAUAAGAGUGUUAUAAACUUGGUAAACAACCUUUUUCACUAAAACAGUUUUGGACAGCAACAUUAGUCUAAAUUUGAAAAAUCAUCAAAAAUUGUAUAAAUCGAAUUAGAGGAUUAAUAAAAUAUUAAAUUAAAUAUUAUUGAGUCAAGUUUCUUAUGGAAUAAACGUUGUAAGCAAUGGGAUUGUAAAUCAUGAGAUAUAGUAAAUUUUGUGAGACAAGGUCAGAAUGAUUUUGGGUUCCCCUGUUCAAACUUUGGAAAAUCAUAAAAAAUUGAAGAAAAAUAAUUAUGGACUUAAAUUUAUAUUUUUAAAAUCCUGAAUGAGUCUAUUUUCAAGAUAAAUAGACAGAAACAUCAUUCAAAUUUUGUACGAAGAGAUAAUUAAUUUUUAGCGAAAAAGGGUUAGAACUGUUAGACAGCAAAAUAGGAGUAAUUUUAAUGAAUAAACUAUGUUUAUUGGCUAAACCAAAAAUUCUGAAAAUUUUAUGGUAAGAAUAUAUGUGAGUCUAGUUUCAUUACAAAUUAUCAGAUCCUAAUUUGGAAUUUUUUACCUCAAGAUAUAAAUAAUUUAGUGACUAUGACUCAAGUAGACAGCUUGAUGUGAACAUAUAAGUAAAUAGUGGAAUUAUGUAUAAAUUAAGGAUGUGGAAUGGAGAGGAAGAGGAGGAAAAUAUAUGAAUAUUCAGCUAGUAUGGGUUUAUUUUAAAAAUGGCUAAUUUGCAUGUUUUAGGUUCAUGGACUAAAUUGAAUAAGAGUAAAUUUUAGGGGUAAUUUUGUAAAAAUAUCAAAAAAAGACCAAAUUGAAGAAAAUGAAUUGUUUUAGCAUUUAAAUUAAUAAAUUGAAUGAAAUUAUUAAUUUAGAUCAUGAUCGGGUGAAAAAUAGAAAAAAAAUAAAAAAUUACCAAAAUGCCCCUGAAUCUUGAUAUUUCUGUAAUUUAGCCAUGCAAGCUCAUAUAAUUUAAUUAAGUAUGAAAAUGUAUUGAUUUGAUUAUUGACUUGUGAGAAUUAUGAUAUGUAAAUGACAUGAAUAUGUAGCAUGAAAAUGUUAACAUAUGAUAUAUGUGAUAGAUAAAAAGGGUACAAGAACCCGUUCGAAUAUUAAAUUCUGAUUGGACAGGUGAUUACCCUUAUAAAUGAGGUCUUGCAAGUGCUGCAGUACAGGUUAUUCCGAAAAGAGUAAUCUUAUGAUCUCAUUAUGAAAAGGAAUUUCACCCGAAAGGGUGACACUUGAAAAAGAUACAUGUACCUAAAUGGUACAACUGGAAAAGGAAAUGUACACUGUGUGUGUACAACUUGAAAAGGAAAUGUACACUUUGUGUGUACACUUGAAAAGGAAAUGUACGCCUUGUGUGUACAAUGUGAAAAGUGGUAGAUUCGGCUACCUGAUUAGUGAAAAGUGGUAGCUCCGGCUACCUGAUUAGUGAAAAGUGGUAGCUCCAGCUACCUGAUCAGUGAAAAGUGAUAGCUCCAGCUACCUGAUCAGUGAAUAUUGGUAUCUUCGGCUACAAGUGACAAGUGAUAAGUGGUAGCUUUAGCUACACUUAUCUGAUCAAUGACAAGUGAAAAGUGUGAAAGUGCAAGUCCAUAGUUGAACUAUGGCAAAGCGAUAAAGUGUGCCAAUCAUGGCAAAGUGAUAUAGUGUGCCAAACAUGGCAAAGUGUUCAGUGAUCAGUGAUGAAUUGAUGGAUAAGACCAUAGUUGGACCAUGGCAAAGUGUUCAGUGAUCAGUGAUGAAUUGACGGAUAAGACCAUGGUUGAUCCAUGGCAAAGUGUGAAACGUAGAUAUGGUAUUUCCAUACAGAGCUCUGAAACGUAGGUAUGGUGUUUCCAUACUGAGUUGUGAAUCGUGGUAUUGAGCAAAUGACGGACUCAAAUCCACAAGACGUUCUCUAAUUUGACAAAGAUUGGUAAGUGACAUAUGAAAGUAGUAUUGGAAGACUUAUGGUUAUUAUUAAUAUUGAUCUAAAAUAAGUGUACCAUUGAUAUUUAAAUGAUUCAAUGGGUAAAGUUCUGAUAUGAGAUAACAUGAGUUUGAAAUGAAUUAUCACAGGUAUAUACCUGAAAUAUAUGGAAAUGAUGGUGCGUGAAAUAUUGAUAUAAUGAAAUGAAUGAUAUAUGUUUAUAAAGAAACAGCAAAAGAAUGAUAAGUAUCAUGACAUGUAAAAAUGUGAUUAUCUUUGAUAUGUUGCUACAAUGAAAUUAUGUAUGUUGAGAUGAGCAAUAAACUCAAGUGUAAUAUGAUGAGAAAAUAAGUUUACCUAUGUUAAAUUUAUAUGAAUAUGUUCAAGUAUGCUAACAAGUGUUACUGUUGAUGCUUAGACAAGUGCCAAGCUAUUGGUUAAAUGGUAAUAUGUUUAUUUAUAUGAUGUGUUGAAAGGGCAAGUGCUCAAAUGAAAAUAUACUUGUGAUCGUGAGAGAGUGACAAGUUUUAAGUUAUGCAAUAUCUUAUGAAAUGGCUUAUCAUAUGAUUAAUUGAAAAGGGUUAUGUUCAACUGCACUAGCUUGUGGUUAUAAUGGUAUAGUAUGCUUAUGACCAGUGUGUUAUACAUAAUGAAUGAGUGUGGAAAGUAAAGAGAUACAUAUGAAAAUAAAGAAACUAGGAAGAGUUAAAAUUAUUUAAAAUCUUACUAAGCUAGAGAUGAUAUGCAUAAGUGAUGAUGUGGAUUCAUUCACCUUGUAAAUUGAUGAAUAUAGCUUCAUGAGUAUUGUCUGAACCACACGACUUGGCCACACAGCCUGUAACCCCUGCAGUGUUGAAAAAUUUUAAAUAUUUUCAAAAAAAAUUUCGAGUUCUCGAUUAAGUCCCGAUAUAUAUUUAAGCCUCGAUGGCUCACAUAAGGGACACUAUGAUUAAAUUUGAUUAAUUACAGGCAUGAAUGUUAUGUGAAGCGAAAUUUCUGUUAAAUGAUCUGUAAAUUUUGGUAAUGCUCUGAAAUCCUGUUACGGCGAUGAAUACGGGUUGAGGGUGUUACAUUCCUUUUUUUUUCCUACAGUGUCACAGAUGCUAGCUCAAGUUGGAGGUCAUUGGAGAUUCUAUCACACUAACAAGUUAUUGAUUGGUAUAGUAUUAAUGAUCUUCAAGUAUUUUUAAGUCUAUGGCACGUAUAGGGAC
rnacentral:lncRNA from 1 species